AUACUAUGCAGCCAUAAAAAAGGAUGAGUUCAUGUCCUUUGUAGGGACAUGGAUGAAGCUGGAAACCAUCAUUCUCAGCAAACUAUCACAAAGACAAAAAACCAAACACCGCAUGUUCUCACUCACAGGUGGGAAUUGAACAGUGAGAACACAUGGAUACAGGAAAGGGAACAUCACACACUGGGGCCUGUUCUGUGGUGGGGGGCUGGGGGAGGGAUAGCAUUANNNNNNNN
rnacentral:lncRNA from 1 species